UAAUGAAGUUCAAUCGGUAGUCAAUGAUAUAUUACCAAUAAUUUCUUAGGGACAGAAUAAAAGCAAAGUUAUUACCUAAACAAUCCACUGAAGAAAAAAUGACAAUAAAUGGGAUUUACAUAAUUGAUAAGGUUAAAUAAUUACAUUAUAUGGAAUACUUACGUGAUUUACAAUCACUGUACAUAAAUUAUAUGGAUCCAGCAAAGGUUAAAAUCUUUGCCAUUUUGAUUAUUGAGGCAGAAGAGGCAGCCUAGAAACACUAGUACCUCCACUGCUGCCAGUUAAUGACUUAGAGCUUGUCUCCUUUUGUAAGGUUGAACAAGACUUGGGGGAUUUAGAGGAAGUUUUCUUGUUUGUCUUCAGGGGAAGAAUUUGCAACCUGGGGUUAAGCUCUGUACCUGAAUUUUCUGCAGUCAAUUGAUAGCUUUCCACAAGUUCUAGUUGCCGAGCAAUUAUUUCAGAGCAUCUGGGUAGAAGCUCCACUGGCUCUCCUCCAGGGAUAACAAUAUACUCGAUUGCAAGUCGAACCUCCUCCAAAGCAUCAAUCUCUUCCAGGGUAGGCUUCCUUUUUGGUGCAUCAUCUUCAAUUUCUAUGUCCAAUGAACCUUUGAUCGGCCUUUUUGAUGUGGGGCCAAAUGAUUCAAAUCCAAGAAUUGUACGAACUGCCUUGACCAUUUGUGCCAUGGUAUUUGACUUGAUAACAAAUACAGGCAAUUGGUGGAAUUUAGCUACACCACGGAUCCAUGGGUUGUGCUUCAUUUCUGAACUAGAUGCUAGAAUUGCAUCUGCUGUUUCAAUAUCAUCAGUCACAUCUACGUUAUCCUCUAGCCCCAUCACCUUGGCCACUUGUAACAGAUCAGAUUCAAGGAUCUUGUAAGUGUAAACGCACACGGGAGAACUCCUCCUCACAUAUCCACUUGUUUUUGGUUUUUUGAAAUGGUUUACAGGAUAGUAUUCAUUCUCUUCAUCAGAUUCUACUUCAUCACCAUUGUCUUUAUUAAUGGACCUUGCCUCAGAUUCCUCUACAAGGUUAUUUCCGAGCAUUGGAGUGCACUUCAGAGAAUCAUCACAUCCAGUAUCCAUGUGACGGAUUUCAAACAAAGGAGUUUUUCCUGCCAGUAUAGCAUCUACCGUAGCAUCUAAUCUGUGAUGAACACGACAUUCUGUCCUAGAUAUCAUCUCAACUGCACAUGUAAAUGUUGGGGGCCCUUUCCUCUCAAGAAUUGUCUUCUGCACUUUCCUUUUCCUUGCUUCAUCAUCACCAAGUGUUACACUCUCUAUGCCACCAACGAGAAUCUGUAAAGAAGGAUUUUUUAUUAUGUUGUCUAUGGUCAUUCCAUGGGCUGUUCCAACUAGCUGAACUCCACGUUGAGCAAUAGUGCUGGCAGCUAAGGCUUCAAGCUCUGUUCCAAUCUCAUCAAUUAUGAUUGCCUGUGGCAUAUGAUUUUCAACUGCUUCAAUCAUAACAUUAUGUUGCAUAUGAACAUUUGGAACUUGCAUUCUUCUUGCACGACCUAUGCCUGCAUGGGGAACAUCUCCAUCGCCUCCUAUCUCAUUUGAUGUAUCUACAAUGAUGACACGUUUUCCCUGGUCAUCUGCAAGCAUUCUGGCUGUUUCUCUGAUUAAGGUUGUUUUACCAACUCCUGGAGGGCCUAUAACCAAGAUUGAACCUCCCCCCUCAACCAAGUCACGGAUAAGUUCAGCACUUCCAGAUACAGCUCGACCCACCCGACAAGUAAGGCCAAUAAUUUGCAUUUUACGGUUUCGAAUGGCACUUAUACGAUGCAAGGAACUAUCAAUACCCGAUCGAUUGUCAUCAGAAAAAUCACCAACCUUUGAUAUGGCAUGCUUUAAAUCCUCAUGCUUCACAGGCUGCUCCGAAAUAACCCAGUCCCCAGAUGGAAACCUCGCCAGAGGUUUCCUGCCCAAGUCCAAUACCACUUCAAUCAAUUCACCCACUGCUGUAUGCUUACACAACACUCUCCUCAUCCUCAACGGCAACAAUUCAAGAAACGAAUCCAUUUCAGAAUUCGAAACUGAGCAUGAAGAAGUCGAAGGAGUUGAGGUCAAAACAGAAUUCACUGAUUCUGACGUCAACCCAUUUCGCGAUUUGUAACGAUCAGACGGUUUCCGGACUUCCGGAGCCCGAACAACAGAAGGUGUCGAGGAUUUAGACGAGGAAAUCCUCCUGUGCACACCAAGCGUUCGACGAAAUGACGAAGAGAUAGUGGAGAUAUAAGUGAAGGUGGAUAGUGGAAUUUGAUGAGCUGAAUAACAUGAGCUUUGUAAAUCAAUAAGAAGAAAACGCGAACUCAUAACUCUAAUGUUAGCUUUUGUUGAUUCUGUUUUCUACGUUACAAGCAAAAGAAGAGUAAAAACGAAGGACGAGAGGAAGAUUUGCAGGGACCUGCUGCUCCGAUACUUGGGAAAACCCCGUGCGCUUCUUGGUUUCGGGCUUCAAAUUUGGUGGGCGAAAUGCGAAAGGAAAAGAAAAAGGAAUGAGGCUUUGAGGGGAGGAAGGUGGAGA
rnacentral:misc_RNA from 1 species